UGUGGAGCUUUGUCUUCUUUCUGUAGAUCCGGCACAGCACCCAGUCGUCCAGCUGCAACGAAAGAAGAACAGCUUGCCAAAGACUGGAUGCAACUACUUGGAGGAAUUGAAACUUACUCUGGAGCCCUUCCGGCGAGGCUUGUGGGGAUUGUCGACUAGACGGUACUCGUGCAUAAUCCAGUUGGUCUUCGCCCCC